ensembl:lncRNA
UCCGAGAGCCCCGAGGAGCAGCCGAGCACUGGGGUCUUGGGCCGGAUCGGGAGCUGGUUCUCUCCAUGGAAGGCAACGGGUCCGAAGAGUCCUACUGAAAAUGCCUCCCCAACCAGCGAUCAGGCUCUGAAGUCAGGGGGAGACGAGGAGAGCGAGGAGUCGCUGAGACCGCGGCAGCAACAGUGGGAGGAGGAGAAGGACCACAGCGUCGGUCCCAAUCCGCUGGGUCUCUCCGGAGACCGUUUCCUUUGUGAGGAGAAGGACGCCACGCAGUCUGCCCACAGACACGACUCUGCUGUGAGUAGCACUGAGACAGGAGAAGGAGGUCCAAAAGAGGAGGGGUUUGUGGAGUGCAGGAAGGAGAGAAGAGGGCAGGGCAAGGAGAGGGAGGAGAGCAGCAGCGCUACUUCAGAGAGCGGGAAUCCUGAGAGGAAUGCCAGUCAUCUGACACAUCUCUUUUCCUCUUCCAAACAGGGCGCUGACUGGGCCCACACCCGGCCUCAGGCCCAGAGACACGCACGGGCACAGUCAGGCAGGACGCUCCAUGUGUACGUGGAGGAGACGAGCGUGACGCACUGCGGCCGGGACGCUUGUGCGGAACAGGAAGUCGUCCGCACCAAAGUCACAAAAAGCCUACAGGUUUUGCAAAAGACAAAUCCAUCAGCAGGUUUUCAUCUACCAAACAGCUCCGAUCCAACAAGUGCAGAGAAUAAAAGGACGGAUGUUGAGCCCGCUGUUGGGGCACAGACUUAUUACAGUGCCGUAGUGGGAGUGCCACUGAAGUCACACGAAGACUCAGGGUCAGAGCCUGAACCUGAUAAAGAACAAACAGAGGCAGACAGCAUGGGCCGCAAAAAUGCAGCCAGAAGGAGAAACAGGAAGAACUCUCAGGGAGAUGGAGGGAACAGCCCCGAGGAUAAAACGCCGCCCAGUGCCCAACCUGUCCCAGAGGGGUUCCUAUCAUCAGAUAACUCUGUGACCGGCCCUCCGGGCAAAAGUGCAGAGACGCUGAUGGCAGAGGCAUCUGUAAACUCCUCCCCCGAGCACAAGCUCACCUCGCAGGCCAUGCCCGAAGGAGGGGGGAAAAACACUUCCUGCUCUGAUAAGGACAAGCGAUUGGACAACUUCCAGGAUUCAAACUCAGUCAGUGCCGACACUCUGGUAUGUGCGGUUGAUGGGGGCGCAGACAUGGAGGACGAUGACAGCCUUUACAAAGUGGAACGGAAGACAGAGACACCGGAGUCCAAGCGCAGGAGUAUUAAGGUCUCUCGGAGUGAGGUGAAGCUCUUCACAAAAUAUGUGCCUUUAAAACCUGUUCAAAGUGCAGCGGCAGACCACCAGGAUUAUAAAUCAGCGGUACAGAGUGCCAAAGGAGGAGAAAAGGACAAGCCCAGAACAGAGGCCGAUGCGAGAUUGCACGACACCAAGAAAUCUGAUGAGGAGCCUAAAUCAGCCGUCGGCCGGAUCGCGGAUAGAAUCAGCCUCUUUGAGCACCAGCAGGCGGUGGGGGGCCCGAAGAAGACCUUCCAGACCCCGAGGAGCGCUGAUGUCUCUCCGGUCAGGAAAGUCACCGGGAGGCCGAAAGCAAAUGAUGAGCUGCCGUCCCAGAGGUCGCGAUCAGCCGAGCGUCACGACACGGCCAGAACCGGCUCCGUGUCACACGUCGGGGAGAAACCGAUGACGAUCAAGGAGCGAGCGAGGAACUUCACAGAGGCAUCUAAGGCAGAGGCUAAGCCAACACUGCCGCAGAAGAAAACCAUGACAGGAAUGUUUCAAAAAUCCACUUUGACUGCGGCGGCUGCUGCAUCAGUGUUGCCGGAACGGGACAGUCAGGGCAAACUGGAUACUAAAGAGCAGCUACAGACAACAGCAAAGUCAGAGAUAACAGAAAAACCAGACGGACGAGAUACCACGUCUGUAGGGGUUAAUAUUUCCAUUCCAAAAGAACGACCGACAGACUCCAAAACCACAGAGACGGCGGCCGCGAGUAGGGGCGAUCGGGCUACGAAACCUAACAGUCUCGAAUCAGAUGUCUCAGCUAAAGCAGCGGGGGAUCCAUCCGAAGCGACCAGUAGCAUUAGUCCGCAGUCCAAAGGUCCUAGCAGAACAGGCUCCCGCCCUAAAAGAAGGAAAAGUAGAGAGCCUACCAGUCCCAUCAGCCCAAACAGUGAAAAAAAACCUUUGAGUAAGCCAGAGGUCACUGGUAUAAAACAAGAGCAGGUGGAUGAUGCAGCGGAGACUGGGCCUGCCUCCAAGCAGCUCACUGCCAAAGUCUCACUGUCAUCUGAAAAAGCCCAAGGAGGUGCAUCGGACAAACAGCCACCGACUGACACCAGACAAAAUGCCUUGAAACGGGAAGUGGAAGAGAAACAGAAGAAGCCUUUGGAUUCUUCAUUUCUGAAGAAGAGGACUGACAAGCCGCUCAAGACACAGGAGGAGUCGCC